GGAACUUUGUACUUUGGCUAAGGUGCUGUUUGUUAAUUUGGUCAACACCUUAGCUUAGUGCAAGGCUUAA
rnacentral:pre_miRNA from 1 species